UUCUUCUUCUUCUUCUCCUCCUCCACCCCACCCUCAUCUGCCAACACCCCCACCCCAGCCCACAUCCCCAAUCAUCACAUUUUCUCUCCUACAACCUCUUAAACCCUAAACCCAGAAGAAUUUUUCCAUGUUAUAGCCCGCAUAAAGAUGAUAAAAAUGCAAUUUCUACGCCGUUUGGUCUUCUCAGUAUUCGCCCUCUUCGUGUUCUCAUUGAUAUCAUCAAUGGCGGCUUCUAAUGAGGCAUCCGCGUCAUCCAUAUAUGAUGUUCUCAAUAUUCACGGGCUGCCAAAGGGUUUGCUGCCCAAAGGGGUGAAGAAUUUCAGCUUGGAUAAUUCCGGGAAAUUCGAGGUGCACUUGGAUCAAGCUUGCAAUGCCAAGUUCGAGAAUGAAUUGCACUACGACAUGAAUGUCACGGGCACCCUGAGUUACGGGCAGAUCGAUGGGCUGUCGGGGAUUUCGGCGCAGGAUUUGUUUUUGUGGUUUCCCGUCAAGGAAAUCCGGGUCGAUAUCCCCAGCUCCGGGUUGAUUUACUUUGAUGUGGGCGUGGUUUCCAAGCAGUUUUCACUGUCUUCUUUUGAAACGCCGAGGGAUUGUUUGGCUGCUCCAGUGCCGGAUCUUCGGGACGGAAGACAUGUAGUGGAGUCUGUUCCCGAGAUUAUGUCCGGGAAGCUCCGAUACGAGUUUGAUCAGGAUAGUGUUGCAAGAGCAGCAUUGUAGACUUCAAGGGGGGGCGAUGAUGCACGGUAGCUCAAUCACGUUAUGGAAAUUUUCGGUUCUUCUAUGUACAGGUCUACUCAGGGUCUGGUCUAGAGAUCACAUUACUUUAUUCUCGUGUGCGUGUUUGUGAUUGCAUCUGUAGAGCUAAAGUCUUCAAAGGAGUCGUGCUGCCUCCUGUUCUUGACAAUCUGCACAAAUUCAAUCGAAAAGUGGCAUUGAGGGAUUGCUGGGGAAAAAUGGAAGUCAUUUGUGUAUUGGAAAUGGAGGAGAUUGAAUAUACAGGAGCAUCAAUCGAGGAAUCAGUGAAUGCUACACUUUAUUACUCGGGGAGAAGGUAAGAAUAGGAAACCAUAUUGGCCAGUAACGAAACAUGUAAUGGAUUCAUAGUCUGUUUGUGUUAUACUUUGUAUCAUAUCGAAUAAGUUCUAUUUGAAAUAGCAACUGUAGAAAGAGAGUAAAACAAAAGGCUGAGCUCCCCAAAGAGUCAAAGAAGAAAAGACGAACAAAUGGAUGGAGAUAACUAGAAACCUCAAUAGAACCAAUGUUUAUACGUAAAUUCUGCAGAUAAUCCUUGUUUGGUGAUUGCUCUGCUCGAUAGGCCAGUGUGAUUGAAUCUGUAAAGCAUUGAUUCGUACAUUCGACAUUUGUGAUUCUCGUUGUCCUUAUAGAGAGAAAACCAGUUAGAAUUUUUUUCCUCAUAAGUAUGAUCAAAUUCGAAUUGUUAUCUGUUUCUUGCA